UGCAGUCGAGCGAACAGAUAAGGAGCUUGCUCCUUUGACGUUAGCGGCGGACGGGUGAGUAACACGUGGAUAACCUACCUAUAAGACUGGGAUAACUUCGGGAAACCGGAGCUAAUACCGGAUAACAUAUUGAACCGCAUGGUUCAAUAGUGAAAGGCGGCUUUGCUGUCACUUAUAGAUGGAUCCGCGCCGUAUUAGCUAGUUGGUAAGGUAACGGCUUACCAAGGCAACGAUACGUAGCCGACCUGAGAGGGUGAUCGGCCACACUGGAACUGAGACACGGUCCAGACUCCUACGGGAGGCAGCAGUAGGGAAUCUUCCGCAAUGGGCGAAAGCCUGACGGAGCAACGCCGCGUGAGUGAUGAAGGUCUUCGGAUCGUAAAACUCUGUUAUCAGGGAAGAACAAAUGUGUAAGUAACUGUGCACAUCUUGACGGUACCUGAUCAGAAAGCCACGGCUAACUACGUGCCAGCAGCCGCGGUAAUACGUAGGUGGCAAGCGUUAUCCGGAAUUAUUGGGCGUAAAGCGCGCGUAGGCGGUUUUUUAAGUCUGAUGUGAAAGCCCACGGCUCAACCGUGGAGGGUCAUUGGAAACUGGAAAACUUGAGUGCAGAAGAGGAAGUGGAAUUCCAUGUGUAGCGGUGAAAUGCGCAGAGAUAUGGAGGAACACCAGUGGCGAAGGCGACUUUCUGGUCUGUAACUGACGCUGAUGUGCGAAAGCGUGGGGAUCAAACAGGAUUAGAUACCCUGGUAGUCCACGCCGUAAACGAUGAGUGCUAAGUGUUAGGGGUUUCCGCCCCUUAGUGCUGCAGCUAACGCAUUAAGCACUCCGCCUGGGGAGUACGACCGCAAGGUUGAAACUCAAAGGAAUUGACGGGGACCCGCACAAGCGGUGGAGCAUGGUGGUUUAAUUCGAAGCAACGCGAGAACCUUACCAAAUCUUGACAUCCUUUGAC
rnacentral:rRNA from 1 species